rnacentral:misc_RNA from 1 species
UCUCCGUAGGUGAACCUGCGGAGGGAUCAUUACAAAGUUCAUGCCCUACCGGGUAGAUCUCCCACCCUAUGUUAUUAUUACUUUGUUGCUUUGGCGGGCCGUUAGGCUCCGGCCCGACUACCGGCCCCGGCUGGUAAGCGCCCGCCAGAGGACUCAAAACCCUGAAUAUUAGUGUCGUCUGAGUACUAUAUAAUAGUUAAAACUUUCAACAACGGAUCUCUUGGUUCUG